CAGCAGCCGCGGUAAUACGUAGGGUGCAAGCGUUAAUCGGAAUUACUGGGCGUAAAGCGUGCGCAGGCGGUUAUAUAAGACAGAUGUGAAAUCCCCGGGCUCAACCUGGGAACUGCAUUUGUGACUGUAUAGCUAGAGUACGGCAGAGGGGGAUGGAAUUCCGCGUGUAGCAGUGAAAUGCGUAGAUAUGCGGAGGAACACCGAUGGCGAAGGCAAUCCCCUGUGCCUGUACUGACGCUCAUGCACGAAAGCGUGGGGAGCAAACAGGAUUAGAUACCCGAGUAGUCCCUGUCUCUUAUAC
rnacentral:rRNA from 1 species